rnacentral:rRNA from 1 species
GUGCCUACGGGAGGCAGCAGUGAGGAAUAUUGGUCAAUGGGCGCGAGCCUGAACCAGCCAAGUCGCGUGAGGGAUGACGGUCCUACGGAUUGUAAACCUCUUUUGCCGGGGAGCAAGCGUGCGUUCGUGAACGCACGUCGAGAGUACCCGGAGAAAAAGCAUCGGCUAACUCCGUGCCAGCAGCCGCGGUAAUACGGAGGAUGCGAGCGUUAUCCGGAUUUAUUGGGUUUAAAGGGUGCGUAGGCGGGCUGUUAAGUCAGCGGUCAAAUGUCGGGGCUCAACCCCGGCCUGCCGUUGAAACUGGC